AGCAUUCGUCUUCUGGUUACGGGGCCAUAGCUCAGCUGGGAGAGCGCGUGCUUUGCAAGCAUGAGGUCGUCGGUUCGAUCCCGUCUGGCUCCACCAGCCUUCGCUGGCUGAUGCCAGCUACGGCUAGGCGAGCCCGACUAAAGCGAAGGCUGCCGCGGCGAAGCUCGAAGAGCGAAGCCGGGCUGGCGCCGACCGACCAAAUCGUCCGCGAAACAUCACUUCGCUUUGCGUGAUCCUCACCAGGAUCUGCAUUGCGUGUUUUCUGACAUCGUAAAGAGGAGAUCGAUCCGAGUUUGGAUCAAGCGAAGCAAUUCGCAUGACCCAUUCACUAUCUCCGGGAUCAUUUCGGCGCUCGCUUCAGUCGUGAGAUUGAAUGCGGGUUGUAAAUGAUCCUUUGUUAGCGAAGCUUGACCGCCUCGCUAUCGGGCCGAUCUUACGAAGCAAGCUGGUCUUUCUAGUCAAUGUCCGGCUGCGACAAUCGCAUCAUCGAGGGUGCGCGCCUUAAAUGGCAGUUGCGCAGACAACAUUCUGCCGAGUGUGUGGACAUUGAUAAUGAGAGCAAUCAAGUGCCUUAAGGGUGUUCGGUGGAUGCCUUGGCGCUGAGAGGCGAUGAAGGACGUGCUACGCUGCGAUAAGCCGU
rnacentral:misc_RNA from 2 species